rnacentral:lncRNA from 1 species
CCGGCGAGCCCCGCGCUCGGCCCUCGGCGCGCUCAGCGCAUCGCUCCCGGCAGCGCCGCCCCCGCCCCCGCCCCCGCCCCCGCCCCCGCCCCGGCCCCCGCCCCCGCCCGCCGCCCGCCGCGGGGCCGGCUCUGUGCCGCCGACGGCUCGGUCCCCGCCGGGCGCGCACCCUCGGCCACCCUCAGCCGCCCUCCGCCGCCGGCCGCCGGCCCAUGCCCCGCGCGCCGCUCGCCGCUCGCCGGCCGCAGCUGCAGGCCCUGCCCCGGGCGGCCCGCGGGCGGGGGCGGGGGCGGGGGCGGGGCGGGGCGGGCGGGGCGGGCGCGGCGCCCGGGCCGCGGGGCGGGAGGGCGCGAGCACCGGGGCCGACGCGCCGCGCACCUGCCCGAGCCGCGGGCGACGCGGGGCCGCGCCGCUCCGCUCCGCUCCGGCCGGCUCCGCGCGCCGCGGCCCCCACCCCCGGAACGCGCCGGCUCUGGGCGGGACGGCGAGGUGCCCGGGCUGUCCCCGCCCCGGAGGCCGCGCCGGGCGUCGCUCCGGCGACACGGGCCCUUUCCCCCCGCGGGCCCCGGCGGCGGGGCGCUACGGGCCGGGCCCGGGAGCCGCGGGGGCGUCGGGGCCGUCGGGGCCGUCGGAGCCGUCGGAGCGCGGCCUGCGCGGGGCGCUGUUUGCCGCGUUCCCACGCCCCCGGGGGCCCCGCCGGCUCCCCGCGCCCUGCGCCGCUCUGCCCCCCGCGCCACCGUCGCUUCCACUUCUCCCCUCCCUGCCCCCGGCCACGAGGAAGAAAAACAUCUCUCUGCGUCUCAGGCUUGGAGGUGCACAUGUCCCGGAGCUGCGGCAAUAUAAUUAUUUCGCGGAAAGCCGGUGAUUUGCCUCGCUCAGACCGACUUGCUGCGCUAAUUACAGGCCGCCUGCGGAAUGAUGUUGAGAGGCUGCCUGGAGAGCUGUUUGAUGCUGAUUCAUAGGAACAUACGUGGAUCAUAAAGGCAGCUCCUCUGAAUUGAUUCCCCUGGGAACCAGGCCUAACACAGUUGGUGCCAGGAUUGGUCCCAGGAAUCAGGACUCAAAGUGAGAUUUUUGGAACUGUAUUACCCAUCAAUUGGCAAUAAGGACCUCAUAUAUGAUGGUAAGUAUAUAUACACAUAUACAUAUAUAUAUAUACACAUAUACAUAUAUAUAUAAAACCUUCGAUAUACUAUUGUGCAGUUAUUAAAACUUUUAUUGGUCAUUUAUUGAAAUUAGAUACCAGUGAAAGGAAAUACUCAGGCAGGUGCAAUAACUCAGGUGUUCCAGGGACAUAGAGAAGUAGUAAUUAUACGGAAAAUGAGAAUAGAUGGCUAUUUCUGAAUGCCAUUACUCAAUUAGGAAGAGGUAGUGAAAUACUGAGGGUGAUUAAUUACUGAUUUAAUACAAAAUAUGAAGCCAGAAGCCUCCUUGGAAGCCUAUAAAGACACUUACCUCCUGCAGCUGGAGAAUAAAAAAAGCUAAGGGUCAGACCCAGAAUUUAAUAAUAUAGAUAGCAGAGCUCCAUAGAGGUUGAAUCCUUAAUCCCAGUAAUUCCCAAUAUUAGGGUUCUGAGACAUCAGGGCUAAUGAGCUUGAAUCUUGAGUAGCAGAUUCUCUGAAUUUCUGGGUCUAUUAGAAUGGCCCACUAUUCUCUGCCAAACACCAGCACCCCCCAUCUUUGGUUGAAAAUGGUGUUGAGGUCUGCUUUGUAAGACUACGUAUGCUCCUUCAUGAUCUACCUUCACCUCUCCUCCUGGCCAGUAGGCCAAUAACUAGUAUUAAUUUUUAUUGCCUAGCUGGGGAAGUGCUAGGCCUGAGAAGGGAGAAAGUGACUACAUCCCAACUGAGCAGCAGGACCUAGACCACAUGCACUGGUAGGAACUGGUGGAAUAGUGGUGGGACCAGGUCCUGAGGUGUUUCAUCAAGGUGGUAAGAGGUGCGCAAAGUUUGAUAAAAGAGAUUUAUAAAUAUAGGAGCUCUCUCUUGUGAUUCAGGAUUUAACACCCUGGAAAGACUUUGGGAGAUGGUGCUACUACUCUAGGUUAGCCCUUGAAAUCCUAGAGAAAGUGAUGUCCCAUAUUAAGUGAUGCCAAAACUCCAAUGACAAAUGAUAAAUUUUUUUUAAAAGAUCAAAAGUCUCAAAGAAUUGGCAAUGUUUGAGUGGAUCUUUCAUGAAAAGCCAGAAAUCCACACCAGCCAACUUUGUUCUCUGUUGAAGUUUCUGGAAGACAUUCCAUCUACUAACAAUAAAGAAUGUGCUAUUAAGAGGACAGCAGCACCACUCAGUAGACAUUAUCCUUUAUAAGGAAGCCUGAUGGGGAGAGAAUUACUGGUGGAAAUGAGAAGGAAAGGAUCCCAAAACAGGAGAGGCAAGAUGGAAGAACUGUGAUGAGCAUGAAGAUUGGAGUGGUAGGCUGUAAGCCUGAGCUGCAGAGAGUAAUUAUUUAGAAGUGAAUUUAUCUUCUCUUUAGGGUGUGAUAGGUGUGCAGUGAACACUUUGUACUGUUCAAUAUUUACAACCAAAUAUCAAGAGAUAAAUGAUUCGGGAAGCUGUCUACAUUAGAUUCCUAUCACUGCUCUAACAAAUUGCCAAUUUAAUGGAUUGAACAAAUGCUAGUUCGUUCUUCUAUAAUUCUAGAAGUCUGAAAUGGGUUUCCCUGGUCAAUAUCAAGGUGUUGGCAGCGCUAGUUCUAAUUGGAGACUCUACGGAAAAAUUAUUUCCUUGCCUUUUCCGGCUUCUAGAGGCCACCUACAUCUUUUGGCUUCAUGGCUCUUCUUCCAUCUUCAAAGCCAGCAGUAUAGCAUCUUCAAAUCUCUCUCUGACUUUCAUCUCUUCCUCUGAGCCUGACCCUUCUGCCUCCCUCUAUAAAGACCCUUAUGCUUAUAUUAGGUUUCCCUGCAUAAUCCAGGAUAAUCUCCUGGUAUCAAGAUCCUUAACUUGAUCACAUCUACAAAAUCUCUUUUGCCCUGUAAGGUAACACAUUCGCAGGUUUGGGGGAUUAGGAGGACAUGGACACCUUUGGGAGUCAUUACUCAGCUUAUCAUACUACCCAAAGAAACAUGACAAUUACUUGCUGGCUUUCAAAACUGAGCAGGAUUUCAGAACUAGAACCCAUGGACUGAAGAAGAGUCCAGACCCCUGAAAGGAAC